UGAGACUGCCGGUGACAAACCGGAGGAAGGUGGGAUGACGUCAAGUCCUCAUGGCCCUUAUAGGUGGGCUACACACGUCAUACAAUGGAUGGUACAAAGGGUCGCCAACCCGCGAGGGGAGCCAAUCCCAUAAAGCCAUUCGUAGUCCGGAUCGCAGUCUGCAACUCGACUGCGUGAAGUCGGAAUCGCUAGUAAUCGUGGAUCAGAAUGUCACGGUGAAUACGUUCCCGGGUCUU
rnacentral:rRNA from 1 species